rnacentral:lncRNA from 1 species
AACAGGAACGUACAGUUGAUGAUGCUGAGUUGCAGCUAUAGGAAUUUUUGGCGGAUUUCCCACAUGUCCCUUCAAUGAUGGAAGAUGAGCACGAGUUAUCCAACAAAAAAGUCUUGAAGCAACUUGAGUUCCUUCUAGCAAGUGAACCAAGCUAAGGACUGCAGAAAACCACUGACAUUCCUGAAGAAGUUGCCCAACUGUUGAUCCUUCCAAUUGGUGAAACUUCAGCUUUCAAAUUGGAAGAGCCCCUAGAGCAUCAUUACUACAUGCAAUUAUAUGAGGAGCGAGUUUUACCCAUCAUAUUGGCAGCUUGCUUGACAGUCGGGCAAAGGAAAUUGACGGUUAUCCCUCUAAGCGGAUACUUAAAGCCAUUUGCUUAGAAGAAGGAUGGAUGGUUAUCGAUCACACCCGUUUGCUUUUCACCAUGAGUCCAGCUAAGAAGACUCAUCACAUCAAAAAGAAGAGCUUUUGGGAGGCACCCCAAAUUCUAUUUUUCAUUUUUAAUAAUCUAACCUUUCAUUUUGAAACAUUUUAUUGGUUUUAAGUUUUCAUAUUUUAUUUAAUUAUUAUUUUCAAUUCGAUUAUUUUUUUAUUUUUUUAUUUUCAGCUUCCACCGAGGACGCACUGAAUUUCCACUACAUCAGCCUCAACGAAUGAUCAGGGCAGUCCCCUAGAUCUUUUUAUUUUUCUGCAUUUAUUUACUUUAUUUUUCAUACAUGUCAUGCACUUAGAUUGUAUUGCUUUUGUUCUCUUAGUUGAGCAUCCCAUGCGGGGUAUCCAUAACAUUUUACACUGAGGAUAGUGUGUUCUUCAAGUGUGGGUUGGUUGUGGGUAAACCUUAUAAUCUUUCUCUCCUAUGGUUUUUAGAUAUAUUUGAAAUUGCUAUCGCUAGGUGUUGUGUAUUUUUAGGGGAUGUUAGGACACUGUCUUUAUGCACUUAAAUAUGCUAUUUUUGAGCUGAUUGAUGACUUGAUUUAUAGAAUUGUAAUUACUUUUCUUUAUUGUUCAUUGUCCUUGGAAAACAAUUGAUGGUGUUUUACACAUCAGCCCUGCCGAGUUAAAUCAGUGUUAUUCAAUUGUUUUUUGAAUUGUCGAAUUUUAACUUAGAACGUUAAUAAUGUCAUAUGUAUGUGUUUCUUAAGUAAUGAUUCAAUUAAUGAUGUUGCGAACUAAUUGCACCUAAUACCACACCUCAAAGUGAGAUUUUGAGCCUGUUGAGCAUUCAUUAUACUUAUGCUCUUUAUAUUUCUUAUUUGAGUGUGCAUUGUACUUGACUUUGCUUCUAGAAGUUACUUUGUAAUGCUUGUUGAAGUUACAUGAAUAUUGUGAAUACCAUGAGAUGAUUUGGGCGAUUUAGGAUUCACCGCAUUUGGCCAAAAGCCUACCCCUUUAUGUUUCCCUUAGUUAGCCAGUUUUGAGCCUUAACCUUUUCAUCAUAAUUUACACCUAUACACUUCAAUUAUACCAUUCUUUACAUUUGUCUUUCCUCUACCCUUAUGCUAGAAUUGGACUUUAUGAUUUGCUUACCCCUAUGUGGGAUUAAAAUGCCAAUUGCUAUGUUGGUAAAUUCACUAAGUCUUUUUGAUAUUUUAGAUGCUCCCUCCGAUCCAAACUGUUUUUUCUUUACGUUUAUUCAAGUUGUAUGCAGCGGUCCGCUUAUAAGCUGCUAGUUUGUUAUUCAUGAGAAAAGAAAGAAGAAAAAAAAAAGAAGAAGAAAAUAAACAAAAUUCUUUAAUUAUUUAUCUCUUUAUUGGAUUUAGAGCAUUUGCGAGUGUUAUUCUACCAAGUGAGAAUUUUAGUGAAUAAUUCCUCUUGUAUUGUUAGGCAUUUAAUCCUUUGAGCAUAUAUUAUUAUUUAUCGCACAAAUUCCAACAUUUUCACACUUCUUUCCCAAAUCUCUGUACCUUUACCUUAGCCCCAUUACAACCUUGGUAAAGACCCUUUGAUUUUGGUAUUUACUUAUUCACAGUAGCGAAGAUAUUAUUUAUGAGCAAGCUUAUAUGAGCGGGUUGUGUGCAUUUGCUUGGAGAGAUUUGUUUUUCACCUUACAUACACUUUGAGUGACUUUAGUGAUCCCUGUGAGGCAUUGGUUCGUGAUGUUUGUGUUGAGUUAUCAUUUAAGUUAUUCAUGCAUUAAUAUUAUUUCCAUUCUUUAUUAAUGAUUUGUAAUUUGAUUUAUGAUUGAGUAUCCUUUGAGAUGUGUUGAAUAUUAUCUGUUGUGGACUAGGGGCAUAAACUGUAAGGAAUUACUGACUGCAGUUUUAUGAGGUGAGUUGUCAAUUGCUUGAGCACAAGCAAUAGCUUAAGUGUGGGGUGAUUUGAUGUGCAUAGUUUUAUACAUAUUUGCUUGCAUAUUAUUGUGUAUUUUCUUAGCAAUUAUUGUGCUUUUAUUCCGAGAUCACUCGUGUUUUGUGUUCUUUUGCAUUCCAGGAAGAUUUAUAGGUCCAUCAUCAGUGUUUAAGCAGUCUUAGAUCAAUACAUGCGAAAAAGGACGGGAAUUCAUCAAGAUCGGAUAAGAGCUCACAGUGCAUACAUUGAGCACGGCCUAGGUCAAGGCCGUGACCAACCAUGAGCUUUUGGUCUUCAAAACAUGGCAUUUUAGGCACAGUUUCCGUAGCCACCAUGGCCUCCAACAUGGCCCCUGGUGGCUCAGCAACGGGGCGGGGGAACGGCCAU